rnacentral:lncRNA from 1 species
GCCGGUCCAGGGUCCAACAUUUAGUAACCAACAUCAAAUGUACUUGUCUCUCCUAAGCUGCACAGACUGCCAAGUCUCUCGUCAGGUCUUCGCCGCAAAUCUCUCUCCAGAGGAUCGUGGCUGAGGCACCAUGGAAUGCUGCUGUUCUACUGGAGAUGAAAUUUCAUCCAAAAGAAAAAGGGAAAAGUAUCCAAAAGUCUUUCUAGUCUCCAGGCAUUUAGAAAAGCUUUAGAACAAGAUCUGCACUGGCACAAGAAUUUGAGUGGAAAUCACCCUGCCCAGCUGUGAGCCCCGGGGCGGGUGAGCCACACACUUGGAUCUCACUGCAGUUGUGGCCUCUGGGAAGAAGGCUUUGAAUGCAGAUUUUAAACAGGAGGCCUGGGCCUGAAACUCCACACCCCACCAGCUGACACACUGUGCGUGACCUGGAACUAGAAAUGACCUUCUCACAGGGCAGAUGGCCACCCACGGGGGAUGCCUUGUUAGAAAGCCUCUCCAAAGACCUGGGAGAGUCAAAUCCUGACACAAACAUAUCAAAGAAAUGUUCUACUUUACUAGAAAUUUUGUUUAAAACAUACAAGUUAAAAUCAGCGGCUGAGCAUGGUGGCUCACACCUAUAAUCUUAGCUACUCGGGAGGUGGAGGGAAGAGGAUCGCUUGAGGCCAGGAGGUCAAGACCAGCCUGGGCAACACAGAGAGACCCCCAUCUCUAUUUAUUAAAAAAAACGGAAAAGCAAACAAUUUGGUAAUAUAUGUAUCAAGAGGUUU